UACAGAGGUCCCAAGCGUUGUUCGGAUUCACUGGGCGUAAAGGGUGCGUAGGUGGUCGGGUAAGUCUGAUGUGAAGUCUCCAAGCUCAACUUGGAAACUGCAUCGGAUACUAUUCGGCUCGAGGGUUGGAGGGGGGACUGGAAUGCUUGGUGUAGCAGUGAAAUGCGUAGAUAUCAAGCGGAACACCAGUGGCGAAGGCGAGUCCCUGGACAACUCCUGACACUGAGGCACGAAAGCUAGGGGAGCAAACAGG
rnacentral:rRNA from 1 species